CCCCCCGGAGAAAAAUUUCUGUCUACGUCCCUGAUCCAAUGGGUAAAGUCAUCUGGUACAUUUGGUUUCAAUGUGGUCUCCCUGAGCAACCUGUACUUAAUAUCCUUAGUACUAGAUUGCAACCAUAAAAAGUGACAGCAUUCAUGCUAACAUUAUUUUGUAAGCCAGGCUGUAGCUUUGCAUACCACAGCAGGUGGCUUUGCAUUUGUCAUUCCCAUCUACAGAAGUUGUAACAAAGUUGAAAGUGGAGGGCCUAUGUUAUUAGAGCAAAAUGUGUUGAUGGCAAUGCAUAGUGUAUGUCAAUGAACUAGCUUCUCCUCUAGCAGUGACAACCAGACUAGAAUUCUUCGGUGUAAACUCUUUGUUCACACAACUCUCACUAUUGCUUAGUUCCAAAACCAGAAGAGAAAAAGCUUUCUUGUGUGGGAAUACGGACACAAAAGCGUGCUUGCUUGAAGUUGGUGCUAUUGGUCUUUUAUACAGUCACAGGCAUAGUUGCUGGUCGGCUGUUGUUUCUGCCUCCUCUUCCUCAAGGGACCAUUCUGUAGUUGUGCCUUAUUGCUUUUAUGCGUGCACAUUGUAAAUAUGUAAAAAGGGAUCUGUGCUAGUAUGUGUGAGUUGUUUAUUACUUGCCAUUGGACAAUGUGUGCCCCAAGCAGCUGUGCACAACAGUGUUGCAUUGUAGGCAUCUUCGAGUGACUUAAAUGCGUGAUUCAGUAUUUAUUCUCUAAUAAUGUGUUAUCUCUUAUUCAGCUAUGUGUAGUGAGCAAUAUAUCUCAAUCAUAGCAAUGUGAUGCAAACAAGUGCCUUAACUGUAAUCAAAACAUGCUUGACAGUGAGCUGUGCUUUGAAGGCCUCACUGUGUCUCUGCUUUACAGACAUUGGUAGUGUAUGUAUUGUUUCAUGUACUAGUUACUGCUCUCAGAAUUGUUUUUUGUCUGCAUUCUUGGCACCUUAUAUAUGAGGUGAACUUCAGGAAGUUAAUGCUACAUUUCUCUUUUUAUAUGACUACACAUUGUUUGUUACUGUGUGUUAGCAAUGCUUGAGCUUUUGUAUGUGCCACAAAUACAUUUCAAUACUCUUCUUUUUUCUUAGAAUCGUGAAAGCUGUACACUUUUUUUGUGUGUUGCAGUGAUGUCAUUUGUUGUGUUGUGCACACUUCUCACAAACCUGAAUAAAACACAGCACAUAUUACUGCUUGCU